GAGGACCGAGUGCCGCUCAC
rnacentral:siRNA from 1 species